rnacentral:lncRNA from 1 species
GUUAGAGGGGCCAGUUGUACUGUUAGAGGGGGCCAGUUGUACUGUUAGAGGGGCCAGUUGUUCUGUUAGAGGGGCCAGUUGUACUGUUAGAGGGGGCCAGUUGUACUGUUAGAGGGGCCAGUUGUACUGUUAGAGGGGCCAGUUGUUCUGUUAGAGGGGCCAGUUGUUCUGUUAGAGGGGCCAGUUGUUCUGUUAGAGGGGGCCAGUUGUACUGUUAGAGGGGCCAGUUGUACUGUUAGAGGGGCCAGUUGUUCUGUUAGAGGGGGCCAGUUGUACUGUUAGAGGGGCCAGUUAGGGGCCAGUUGUACUGUUAGAGGGGCCAGUUGUACUGUUAGAGGGGCCAGUUGUACUGUUAGAGGGGCCAGUUGUGCUGUUAGAGGGGCCAGUUGUACUGUUAGAGGGGCCA